rnacentral:rRNA from 1 species
AGUUUGAUUAUGGCUCAGGAUGAACGCUGGCGGCGUGCUUAACACAUGCAAGUCGAACGGAGUUUUUAACGGAAGUUUUCGGAUGGAAGUUUAGAAACUUAGUGGCGGACGGGUGAGUAACGCGUGGGUAACCUGCCUCAUACAGGGGGAUAACAGUUAGAAAUGACUGCUAACACCGCAUAAUAUAGCGAAACCGCAUGAUUUUUGCUAUCAAAUAUUUAUAGGUAUGAGAUGGGCCCGCGUCUGAUUAGCUAGUUGGUGGGGUAAAAGCCUACCAAGGCGACGAUCAGUAGCCGGCUUGAGAGAGUGACCGGCCACAUUGGGACUGAGACACGGCCCAAACUCCUACGGGAGGCAGCAGUGGGGAAUAUUGGACAAUGGGGGAAACCCUGAUCCAGCGAACCGCCGCGUGAGUGAAGAAGUAUUUCGGUAUGUAAAGCUCUAUCAGCAGGGAAGAUAAUGACAGUACCUGACUAAGAAGCCCCGGCUAACUACGUGCCAGCCGCAGC